UACGUAGGGUGCAAGCGUUUGUCCGGAAUUAUUGGGCGUAAAGAGCUUGUAGGCGGUUUGUCGCGUCUGCUGUGAAAUUUCGGGGCUCAACCCCGAACUUGCAGUGGGUACGGGCAGACUAGAGUGUGGUAGGGGAGACUGGAAUUCCUGGUGUAGCGGUGAAAUGCGCAGAUAUCAGGAGGAACACCGAUGGCGAAGGCAGGUCUCUGGGCCAUAACUGACGCUGAGAAGCGAAAGCAUGGGGAGCGAAUGGG
rnacentral:rRNA from 1 species